rnacentral:rRNA from 1 species
GAUGAACGCUGGCGGCGUGCCUAAUACAUGCAAGUCGAGCGAACGGACGAGAAGCUUGCUUCUCUGAUGUUAGCGGCGGACGGGUGAGUAACACGUGGAUAACCUACCUAUAAGACUGGGAUAACUUCGGGAAACCGUAACUAAUACCGGAUAAUAUUUUGAACCGCAUGGUUCAAAAGUGAAAGACGGUCUUGCUGUCACUUAUAGAUGGAUCCGCGCAGCAUUAGCUAGUUGGUAAGGUAACGGCUUACCAAGGCAACGAUGCAUAGCCGACCUGAGAGGGUGAUCGGCCACACUGGACCUGAGACACGGUCCAGACUCCUACGGGAGGCAGCAGUAGGGAAUCUUCCGCAAUGGGCGAAAGCCUGACGGAGCAACGCCGCGUGAGUGAUGAAGGUCUUCGGAUCGUAAAACUCUGUUAUUAGGGAAGAACAUAUGUGUAAGUAACUGUGCACAUCUUGACGGUACCUAAUCAGAAAGCCACGGCUAACUACGUGCCAGCAGCCGCGGUAAUACGUAGGUGGCAAGCGUUAUCCGGAAUUAUUGGGCGUAAAGCGCGCGUAGGCGGUUUUUUAAGUCUGAUGUGAAAGCCCACGGCUCAACCGUGGAGGGUCAUUGGAAACUGGAAAACUUGAGUGCAGAAGAGGAAAGUGGAACUCCAUGUGUAGCGGUGAAAUGCGCAGAGAUAUGGAGGAACACCAGUGGCGAAGGCGACUUUCUGGUCUGUAACUGACGCUGAUGUGCGAAAGCGUGGGGAUCAAACAGGAUUAGAUACCCUGGUAGUCCACACCGUAAACGAUGAGUGCUAAGUGUUAGGGGGUUUCCGCCCCUUAGUGCUGCAGCUAACGCAUUAAGCACUCCGCCUGGGGAGUACGACCGCAAGGUUGAAACUCAAAGGAAUUGACGGGGACCCGCACAAGCGGUGGAGCAUGUGGUUUAAUUCGAAGCAACGCGAAGAACCUUACCAAAUCUUGACAUCCUUUGACAACUCUAGAGAUAGAGCCUUCCCCUUCGGGGGACAAAGUGACAGGUGGUGCAUGGUUGUCGUCAGCUCGUGUCGUGAGAUGCUGGGUUAAGUCCCGCAACGAGCGCAACCCUUAAGCUUAGUUGCCAUCAUUAAGUUGGGCACUCUAAGUUGACUGCCGGUGACAAACCGGAGGAAGGUGGGGAUGACGUCAAAUCAUCAUGCCCCUUAUGAUUUGGGCUACACACGUGCUACAAUGGACAAUACAAAGGGCAGCGAAACCGCGAGGUCAAGCAAAUCCCAUAAAGUUGUUCUCAGUUCGGAUUGUAGUCUGCAACUCGACUACAUGAAGCUGGAAUCGCUAGUAAUCGUAGAUCAGCAUGCUACGGUGAAUACGUUCCCGGGUCU